GCUGGGUGUGGUGGCUCACACCUGUAGUCCCAGUUACUUGGGAGGCUGAGGCAGGAGAAUCGCUUGAACCCGGGAGGCAGAGGUUGCAGUGAGCUGACAUUGUGCCACUGCUCUCCAGGCUGGUGACAGAGUGUCACUCUGUCUCAAAAAAAAAAAAAGGAAAAAUGAGAUCUUUUUGUUAUUGUUGUUUGUUUGUUUUUGAGAUAGAGUCUCGCUCUGUCACCCAAAUUGGAGUGCAGUGGCAUGAUCCUGGCUCACUGCAACCUCCACCUCCCAGGUUCAAGUGAUUCUCCUGCCUCAG
rnacentral:sRNA from 1 species